rnacentral:rRNA from 2 species
UUAAGCGACUAAGCGUACACGGUGGAUGCCCUGGCAGUCAGAGGCGAUGAAGGACGUGCUAAUCUGCGAAAAGCGUCGGUAAGGUGAUAUGAACCGUUACAGCCGGCGAUGUCCGAAUGGGGAAACCCAGUGCAAUUCGUUGCACUAUCGUUAACUGAAUACAUAGGUUAACGAGGCGAACCGGGGGAACUGAAACAUCUAAGUACCCCGAGGAAAAGAAAUCAACCGAGAUUCCCCCAGUAGCGGCGAGCGAACGGGGAGCAGCCCAGAGUCUGAAUCAGCUUGUGUGUUAGUGGAACGGUCUGGAAAGUCCGACGGUACAGGGUGAUAGUCCCGUACACCAAAAUGCACAGGUUGUGAACUCGAAGAGUAGGGCGGGACACGUGGUAUCCUGUCUGAAUAUGGGGGGACCAUCCUCCAAGGCUAAAUACUCCUGACUGACCGAUAGUGAACCAGUACCGUGAGGGAAAGGCGAAAAGAACCCCGGCGAGGGGAGUGAAAAAGAACCUGAAACCGUGUACGUACAAGCAGUGGGAGCACCUUCGGGUGUGACUGCGUACCUUUUGUAUAAUGGGUCAGCGACUUAUAUUCUGUAGCAAGGUUAACCGUAUAGGGGAGCCGCAGGGAAACCGAGUCUUAACUGGGCGUUAAGUUGCAGGGUAUAGACCCGAAACCCGGUGAUCUAGCCAUGGGCAGGUUGAAGGUUGGGUAACACUAACUGGAGGACCGAACCGACUAAUGUUGAAAAAUUAGCGGAUGACUUGUGGCUGGGGGUGAAAGGCCAAUCAAACCGGGAGAUAGCUGGUUCUCCCCGAAAGCUAUUUAGGUAGCGCCUCGUGAACUCAUCUUCGGGGGUAGAGCACUGUUUCGGCUAGGGGGUCAUCCCGACUUACCAACCCGAUGCAAACUACGAAUACCGAAGAAUGUUAUCACGGGAGACACACGGCGGGUGCUAACGUCCGUCGUGAAGAGGGAAACAACCCAGACCGCCAGCUAAGGUCCCAAAGUCAUGGUUAAGUGGGAAACGAUGUGGGAAGGCACAGACAGCCAGGAUGUUGGCUUAGAAGCAGCCAUCAUUUAAAGAAAGCGUAAUAGCUCACUGGUCGAGUCGGCCUGCGCGGAAGAUGUAACGGGGCUAAACCAUGCACCGAAGCUGCGGCAGCGACACUAUGUGUUGUUGGGUAGGGGAGCGUUCUGUAAGCCUGCGAAGGUGUGCUGUGAGGCAUGCUGGAGGUAUCAGAAGUGCGAAUGCUGACAUAAGUAACGAUAAAGCGGGUGAAAAGCCCGCUCGCCGGAAGACCAAGGGUUCCUGUCCAACGUUAAUCGGGGCAGGGUGAGUCGACCCCUAAGGCGAGGCCGAAAGGCGUAGUCGAUGGGAAACAGGUUAAUAUUCCUGUACUUGGUGUUACUGCGAAGGGGGGACGGAGAAGGCUAUGUUAGCCGGGCGACGGUUGUCCCGGUUUAAGCAUGUAGGCUGGUUAUCCAGGCAAAUCCGGAUAAUCAAGGCUGAGGUGUGAUGACGAGGCACUACGGUGCUGAAGUAACAAAUGCCCUGCUUCCAGGAAAAGCCUCUAAGCAUCAGGUAACAUCAAAUCGUACCCCAAACCGACACAGGUGGUCAGGUAGAGAAUACCAAGGCGCUUGAGAGAACUCGGGUGAAGGAACUAGGCAAAAUGGUGCCGUAACUUCGGGAGAAGGCACGCUGGUGUGUAGGUGAAGUCCCUGCGGAUGGAGCUGAGACCAGUCGAAGAUACCAGCUGGCUGCAACUGUUUAUUAAAAACACAGCACUGUGCAAACACGAAAGUGGACGUAUACGGUGUGACGCCUGCCCGGUGCCGGAAGGUUAAUUGAUGGGGUUAUCCGUAAGGAGAAGCUCUUGAUCGAAGCCCCGGUAAACGGCGGCCGUAACUAUAACGGUCCUAAGGUAGCGAAAUUCCUUGUCGGGUAAGUUCCGACCUGCACGAAUGGCGUAAUGAUGGCCAGGCUGUCUCCACCCGAGACUCAGUGAAAUUGAACUCGCUGUGAAGAUGCAGUGUACCCGCGGCAAGACGGAAAGACCCCGUGAACCUUUACUAUAGCUUGACACUGAACAUUGAGCCUUGAUGUGUAGGAUAGGUGGGAGGCUUUGAAGCGUGGACGCCAGUCUGCGUGGAGCCAACCUUGAAAUACCACCCUUUAAUGUUUGAUGUUCUAACGUUGGCCCCUUACCGGGGUUGCGGACAGUGUCUGGUGGGUAGUUUGACUGGGGCGGUCUCCUCCCAAAGCGUAACGGAGGAGCACGAAGGUUAGCUAAUCCUGGUCGGACAUCAGGAGGUUAGUGCAAUGGCAUAAGCUAGCUUGACUGCGAGCGUGACGGCGCGAGCAGGUGCGAAAGCAGGUCAUAGUGAUCCGGUGGUUCUGAAUGGAAGGGCCAUCGCUCAACGGAUAAAAGGUACUCCGGGGAUAACAGGCUGAUACCGCCCAAGAGUUCAUAUCGACGGCGGUGUUUGGCACCUCGAUGUCGGCUCAUCACAUCCUGGGGCUGAAGUAGGUCCCAAGGGUAUGGCUGUUCGCCAUUUAAAGUGGUACGCGAGCUGGGUUUAGAACGUCGUGAGACAGUUCGGUCCCUAUCUGCCGUGGGCGCUGGAGAAUUGAGGGGGGCUGCUCCUAGUACGAGAGGACCGGAGUGGACGCAUCACUGGUGUUCGGGUUGUCAUGCCAAUGGCACUGCCCGGUAGCUAAAUGCGGAAGAGAUAAGUGCUGAAAGCAUCUAAGCACGAAACUUGCCCCGAGAUGAGUUCUCCCUGAGACUAUAAGUCUCCUGAAGGAACGUUAAAGACGAUGACGUUGAUAGGCCGGGUGUGUAAGCGCAGCGAUGCGUUGAGCUAACCGGUACUAAUGAACCGUGAGGCUUAACCUU